AGAAACACUCUGCUACAGAACAAGUGUCUUGGUUCACAGCAAAGAGGACAAAGAAAACAGCAAGUUUUAGGGGGUUGAAUCCUGGAUUCCCCUGGCAAACACCAUUCUACUUUCCGUCUCUAUGAAUUUGACUACUCGAAGUACCUCAUGUGAAAUGUUGGUGCCAAAUGAACUUUUCUGGUUCUUCUGAAUAUGCCACUGUUGCUGGAGAAAUGUCACUGCUAGAGAACAGAAGACUAUUAUUCCAAAGGGUAUUUGAGACUGACUGAAUCAGGUCUGGAACAUUAUUGAAAUGAGACCCACAAAAGAAGAGAUACUGAGAUCAUUUGCUCCAGAAGAAGCUGGUUGCCAUGUCUUGAGGACAGUAAACCCUCUGGGGAGGUUCCUGUGGUAAGGAACAAGGGCUCCUGGCAAUAGCCUCUGAGUGAGCCACCUUGAAAAUGGAUUGUCCAGCCCCAGUCAAGCUUUCAGAUGACUGUAGCUCCUGCCAAUGUCUUCACCACAACCUCAUGAGAUCCCAAGCUACAACCACUCAGAACUUCAUCUUUUGGGAAGCACCAGGGAGAGCUGCCUGUGCCUGGCAGAAGCUGCCCAUGCCCCACUGAUACCCCACAGUACUUCCUGUUCUGCUUAGUACUCCUGCUUCUUUCUACAAACAACUGUGAUUCUCUACCUGGGAGCUUCCUCUGGCCACAGGAGCCUGCUCACCUGAUUGGGACACCCUAGCAGUACUGGCUCAUAGAUGGAAGGGACUUGCCUUGUCGCUGAUGAGACUUUCGACUUGGACUUUUGAGUCAAUGCUGGAAUGAGUUAAGACUUUGGGGAACUGUUGGAAGGGUGUGAUUGUGUUUUGAAUUGUGAGGACAUGAGAUUUUGAAGAGGCUAAUGGCAGCGUCCCCACCUAAAUCUCUUCUUGAAUUGUAGUUCCCAUAAUCCCCACGUGUCGUGGGGUGGAGCCGGUGGAGAUAAUUGAAUCAUGGGAACACUUUCCCCCAUGCUGUUAUUGUGAUUGUGAAUUCUCACGAGAUCUGAUGGUUGUAUAAACGCCUUCCCUCUUCGCUGGGCACUCAUUUUUCUCCUUCCUGCCACCAUGUGAAGAAGGAUAUGCUUGCUUCUUGUGCCAUGAUUACAAGAACACACUCAGAAAUUUUCUCAACACAGUUUCUAUGCAGAGAAGAGAUGUGGGACAGAUUUGAACUGCUGUCAUAUUUGUAUGAACCCAAGACAUUUUCCAAGACCAAGAGGGAUAAAGACAGCAAUUUCUAUGACUGGCAUUUUACGUGCAUGCACUGUUUCCAAGUGUUCUUGUGUUCUGUGCCUUAAACAUUCUGUGUUGCAACUUUAUGAAUUGAAUUAAAGAUAAUCCCAAGCCCCCAAUUGUCUCAAAAAGUGAAAAAGUAAAUGUUAUAGAAAGAAAAGCGGGAAAAACUUUAAGCAUGAAAUAAAAGAUGGGUUGUGAUAAAAGAGGACUGAAGAAGGAAAAGGAAUGAAAGGUUCUGCCAUCCUUCAUGGCAGCCCACUCCACUUGGUAUGAGAUACUGCUCCCUUGGCUGAAAGUUAACUGCUGUACUCCCUCCACUUUCUAUAAAUGACUCCCUGUGCCUUUCCUUCACCACACAACUCACACUCUCUUCCUUCCUAGUGAGUCCACUAAGGCUUCACUGCAUUAUUACAUUUAUUUCAUUUAGGAAAAACUGACUUUAUUUUCCUUCAAAUUGUUUUUUAUUGUUUAUAUGAGCUUGGUUUUAUUGUCAUUCUAUUUUUCUCCAUGAAAAUAGAGAAAAAUAGGGUCGAAAGGUUAGGUUGGGUGGAAAGGAAUUAUAUUUUUUCUCACUAAAAUUGAUGUAAAUAUCGUUUUCAAUUGAAUGAUUUUACACAGUGGCACAGUUUCAGGUAUGUUGCUAAGCAGGAAAGUUGUUAACCAAAGCAUGAAUGUAUUAAGGAGAUGUAUGCAGAAUGACAUGCAAGGUUAUCUAUGAUUGCUGAGUGAGAAAGAGCAAGUUGCUGAGUAUUAUAUAAGUAUGAUCUCACUUUUGUAAAAAAAAAAAAAAAAAAAGGCCUGGACUGAUCUGAAAUGACCCUAUUAAUAACAAUUAUGUCCAGGUCUGUAUUGCAUACUUGUCAUUCAUUACAGGAUCUUGAGACACAAUGCAAAGGAUCACAUCGCAGCUCUGUAACUUGUUAACUAUAAGAUUUUGAGUAACAUAACACCUUACUCCUUAAAAUUGCUUAAAAAAAAUCUGAACAUCAGGAAUAUUCUACUUCACAGGGUCGUUGUGAUAAUUAAAUGUAGUAAUCAAUGACAAUAGUGCCAGAUACAGUAGAUAGCCUACACUUUGCAGCUACUAUUUCUAUCUAUCAUCCAUCUAUUAAUAUAUAUCAUCUAUCUUUAACUUAUCAUCUAUCUUGUUCCAGUUUUUUAAAAUGAACAUGUAUUAACUUUGUAAAAAAUUAAGGCUAUAAGAUGUGCUGAGCUUUUGGAAUAGAUUUUCCUGUACUAUAUAUGACUGCCAGUGGGAGAAUUUGAAUAAAUGUGUAAAUUUGACUAAAUCUGAAUAAAUGUUCAUUUGACGGGACCAUAGAUUUGGGGGUCUAGCACUAGCUCUGUUUCUACACUCCUGCUGCUGCCUGAUAGAGAUGCCUCUCUUGUUUUGGACUCCAAGGUAAAGUAAGCCUUUUCAUUUUGUGCAUCAUAAUUUAAAAUGACAAAUGGAAUCUAUUUUUUUCUCCAUCUAACGCAUAUAUAGCUACCAUUUAUUAAUUCUUGUUUCCUUCUUAUGUUGCUCUUUGUUGUCAUUUUUAAGGGAAGAAGAGACUGGGUCACGGGAAUGCUUUAAUGUGGAAACCCUGAAUUCGUUCCACACAUCUGCCUUCUGGGGACACAGGUAAAUGAGGCCGAGUAGUGAAGUGGGAAGUUCCUGAAAAUGUGACAGCAAGCCUCUGUCCACUGCCAGACCGAAGACAGGGAGGCGCUCAUCGGCAAAUUAAUGGAUGUUAAAGGGAAGCAAAAUAACACCAAGAUAGACUCAUGAAUU
rnacentral:lncRNA from 1 species